rnacentral:rRNA from 12 species
UUCCGUAGGUGAACCUGCGGAAGGAUCAUUGU